rnacentral:rRNA from 1 species
GACGAACGCUGGCGGCGUGCCUAAUACAUGCAAGUCGAACGCUGAAGAGAGGAGCUUGCUCUUCUUGGAUGAGUUGCGCACGGGUGAGUAACGCGUAGGUCACCUGCCUUGUAGCGGGGGAUAACUAUUGGAAACGAUAGCUAAUACCGCAUAACAAUGGAUGACACAUGUCAUUUAUUUGAAAGGGGCAAUUGCUCCACUACAAGAUGGACCUGCGUUGUAUUAGCUAGUAGGUGAGGUAAUGGCUCACCUAGGCGACGAUACAUAGCCGACCUGAGAGGGUGAUCGGCCACACUGGGACUGAGACACGGCCCAGACUCCUACGGGAGGCAGCAGUAGGGAAUCUUUGGCAAUGGGGGCAACCCUGACCGAGCAACGCCGCGUGAGUGAAGAAGGUUUUCGGAUCGUAAAGGUCUGUUGUAAGUCAAGAACGGGUGUGAGAGUGGAAAGUUCACACUGUGACGGUAGCUUAACAGAAAGGGACGGCUAACUACGUG